CCGAUAGCGGAAUGGAAUACCACAACACUCCCUGGCUCUACCAUGAAACCGGGUCCUGAAGAGAUACCAACAAUCGCCAACCUGUAUCAAGCUUUCUUAUCAGUACUACGCAAUUAUUGGAAUUAUCGUGUGUGUCGUCACAGCAAUGAUCGUCAGCUACAUAACAGGUUUCCAGGAUCCCACUUUAAUCGAUGACAGAUUGAAGUACCAUUUCACAGACGCCCUCUUUUGCUGUUUCCGGAAAGUUUGAAAUGGAGCAUGCGUGGUGGUUCCGAUAAGAUCAACGAUGAAGAGGAAUUGGAUGACGACGGAGAUUCGGCCGUUGUUCAGGAAGAAAUGGAGGAGCUCAUCUGCAAAGCAAAUCCUUCAGAUGUAAAAAAUGACACACAACACCAGGCAAAACACAUUGAGGAGACUAAUCAAUAAGUAAUAACGACGUCAUACUCUCGAAGACUGCGUUCGGCAAAGGAAUUUUCAACUUGUAAAAAUCAGAGGAUCGGUAAAGCGGCCAC